CGCUCGUAGUCGGAUUUCGGGGCAGUCCGACCGGUCUGCCGAUGGGUAUGCACUGGCCGGAGUGUCCUUUUUGCCGGAGACCGUGCCUACUCUUAACUGAGCGGGGGCGGGAGACGGCACUUUUACUUUGAAAAAAUCAGAGUGUUUCAAGCAGGCAGCUCGCUCUUGCAUGGAUUAGCAUGGGAUAAUGAAAUAGGACUUUGGUGCUAUUUUGUUGGUUUCGAACACCGAAGUAAUGAUGAGAAGGGACAGUCAGGGGCACUCGUAUUCCGCAGAGAGAGGUGAAAUUCUCAGACCCGCGGAAGACGAACCACUGCGAAAGCAUUUGCCAGGGAUGUUUUCACUGAUCAAGAACGAAAGUUAGGGGAUCGAAGAUGAUCAGAUACCGUCGUAGUCUUAACCAUAAACCAUGCCGACUAGGGAUUGGAGGAUGUUCACUGAUUGACUCCUUCAGCACCUUACGGGAAACUAAAGUCUUUGGGUUCCGGGGGGAGUAUGGUCGCAAGGCUGAAACUUAAAGGAAUUGACGGAAGGGCACCACCAGGUGUGGAGCCUGCGGCUUAAUUUGACUCAACACGGGGAAACUUACCAGGUCCAGACAUUGUGAGGAUUGACAGAUUGAGAGCUCUUUCUUGAUUCGAUGGGUGGUGGUGCAUGGCCGUUCUUAGUUGGUGGAGUGAUUUGUCUGGUUAAUUCCGUUAACGAACGAGACCUUAGCCUGCUAAAUAGUGACGCGAACUCUUUGUUGGCGGUCCACUUCUUAGAGGGACAACUUGUCUUCAACAAGUGGAAGUUUGAGGCAAUAACAGGUCUGUGAUGCCCUUUGAUGCUCUGGGCCGCACGCGCGCUACACUGAUGCACUCAACGAGUCUCUACCUUGACCGAAAGGUCCGGGAAACCUUCGAACUUGCAUCGUGAUGGGGAUAGAUUAUUGCAACUAUUAAUCUUCA
rnacentral:rRNA from 1 species